GUUGAGCUGAGAUAUACUAAGAGGGAUCCAAUAUGAAACUUUGCUAUUUUAUGAGAUAAUCAAGAAAUUUUUUUCUUUGAUGUUGCAUCCUAAAUCUGAUCUAAGUACCUUUAAGAAUUUUUAAUUUGCUUCUCUACUUUAUAUCUGAAUUCUUUGAACCUUUUAAAUUUUUAGAUUUGUAUCUCAUAUGCUUACCCAUACCAUGAC
rnacentral:lncRNA from 1 species